rnacentral:lncRNA from 12 species
UACUGAUUAAAUACAACAAAUUUUUCAGGGUAUGGACCAUGACCAGUUGGACAUCAUAACACCAGAUAAAGGGGUCUAAUGUCACCCUCCCAGAGCUGAUUCAGAUUUUUGCGAGCUAAAAACACAGGAGGAUGAAGAGUAACCAAGUUAGCAGACCAAAGAAAGGUGAAUCCUAGACCAGAAACAAGAAAAGUCAAGACAUCAUCAGAAUUACACUACAAAUAGAUCCUCGCCACAAACAGAAUUCCCAAAAUGCCAUCAGAAUUCCUAUUCCAAAGGCGAUCGGUCAGACAUAACUUCUCCCAUUUCCCUCAUAUGUCCUUUACUUUGAAGCAAGCUUCGUUUACGAUCAUGUUCUUCAAGAGAGACCACCAGUAGCCUGGAAGGGACCCUGCUAGCCCUCUGGAGCAGUAUCUACAGAGCAGACUCAAAGAGCAUAGAAAGCCCACCCAGCAUGUAGCUCCCUGUGAUCCCUUGAGCUGAGGUGGGACGGAGGGGAAGUUGUUUUGUAGGACUAGCAAACAGAGGGAUGGGUUUGUAAUCUCCAAAUGGGGCUAUAGAAGCCAGAAAGUCUUUGGUGGAAGAGUUCCAAGGCAAAGUAAUCUCUGACAUCUCUUCUCACCUGGGUUUUCAGAAGCAUUGGAAUGACACGGUCCAUUAUGCUUCCCAGGAAGCUCGUGGCUGCAGGGACUUUGGCAAACCACCAGUCCACACCUCUUCCUGCUCCCACCCCAUCCUCCCAGGCCCUGAAGAAAGGUUUCAUAACCUCAUAAGGAGCUCACUUGCCCAUUCCUGAAAAUUUAGCUCAGCUAGGAAGAAGGUUCCUAGCUGAGUACAGGUUCUGAGCAUUGUGGUAUCGCAUUUAACCUCUUGCUGCAGCUCCAUGUGGGCAAUGGAGAGAUUUCCAAGAACAUGAACAUCUUCCUCUUCCUCAGUAUUUCAGCACUAGAGUCCCUAGGAGAUCCAGAGGAUGACCUCCUUAAGCAGCCUAUUGGACCAGCCACCAGAGAGCCUCUGUGGAAGGUGGGUGCAGGUGGUUUCCCCUGAGCCUAGUACACUGUAGGUGGGAACAGUCGUUGUA